GGAGUGCUGAGCAGGACAGGGAGCAGAAGACAGACACAGGAGGGAGGCAAGCUGGGAGCAGGUCCCCAGGGGACCACUGUGCCCACAGCAGGUACGUGCUGGGGGACAGUAUUGCCAGCUGGGAAUGGACACCCAGCUCUGUCGGCCCUCAGCUCCCCACCCUAGCCUUACUGGGCUUCUCCCAUAGCUCUCCUCCCCUGCUCCCUGCCUCACAGGAACCUGGACCUCUCUGAAGCAUAGGCCUGCAUUUCGAGUCACCUCGUAGACAGUCCUCUAAAUGUCCCAAAGACACGUGGGAAUCUUCUGUGAACUUACGGGAUUCCUGGCUGCGGUUCUUUCUUCCCAGCUGCUACCCAGGACCAGAAACAUGCCCUGCUUUAAAACUGUUGGAGUUUUAUCCCCUCUGGAUAAACCCAAGCUUCGAGUGCAUCAUGUCAUGCGGAGCUAGGUGUGGUGGCUCACGCCAAUAAUCCCAGCACUUCGGGAGGCUGAGGCAGGCAGAUCACUUGAGGUCAGGAGUUUGAGCCCAGACUGACCAACAUGGUGAAACCCUGUCUCUACUGAAAACAAAAAAAUGAGCCAGAUGUGGUGAUGCACACCUAUAAUCCCAGCUACUCUGGAGGCUGAGGCAGGAGGAUCCUUUGAACCCAGGAGGUGAAGGUUGCAGUGAGCUGAGAUCUCACCACUGCACUCCAGUCUGGAUGACAGAGCAAGACUCUGUCUCAAAAAAAAAAAAAAAAGUAACAUAGCAUGUCAUGGGGGAUCUGGGCUCUGCCAGCCCCUCUCUUCCAAGUUCAGUGCUCUCACCCCAAGCUUGGAGUACACACACACACACACACACACACACACACACAUGCACAUACGGUACUAUUUUUCACCCCUGCCUUUGUUCCUCUGCUGUUCUUGCUGAAGUGUCCAGCUCCGGCCACCUCACCUGGGAAGCUCCGCUGAGCCCUGCCCAGAUACACCUCCCCUCCCAGCCUUUCCCUCCCAGGGGAUCUGGUGCACACUUACUCACUGCGCUGAUCACACCACAUUUCAUGAUGCUUCCUUUCCCUUCCCUCUCCCCAGCAGGCAAGUUCUUAAAGGCAAGGGUGUGUCUUGUGUGUCUAUAUCAAUCGGAGGCCUCUCCCUUCCUUUCUUCCCUGACCCAGCAGCCUCACCAGAGCAUUCUGUCUGACUAUCUGAUGGAGACACCUUCUGAGCCGAGACAGUGUGGCCAUAGUGGCUGUGUCCUCAGAGAUGAGGAGCCCCUCCUUCCCUUUCACAUUGCUCUCUGGCCUUCCCGGACCUGGCUUCUCGCAGCUUUGUGUGCGUGUUUCUCAGGUGUCCAGGAAUCCCAUGCGAAGUGAAGGCUGCUUUGGUCUCCUCAAGUCUGUCCAGGACAAUCCAGCCUCUGCCCUGGAACUGCU
rnacentral:lncRNA from 1 species